rnacentral:ncRNA from 2 species
UUUGCUACUAAUAGUUAAGAUGCCCUUGGGCUUAAUAGGGAAUCCGGUAGAAUCCGGAACUGUCCCCGCAACUGUAAGUGUGGACGAAAUAGGCUAACCCACUGUAUGCCAAUACGGGAAGGGCCUAAAGUAGGAGGAUACACGAGUCAGGAGACCUGUCUUAGCUAUCAAAGUUUC